rnacentral:lncRNA from 1 species
UUUAAUUCAUGAUUAGAUUUUAGGUUAAUUUUCCAUUCGAUCCGUAUAUCAUAUUAUGAUUGUCAUGACUGAAGAUAGCAGAAAUAUACUCGAACGCAUCGCAUGCUCGACCAUACAACAGAGUCACCAUCAGACUUUAUUUAUUCCUGAAGGAAAGGAAAAACAUCGAUAAAACCCGGGGGAAAGAGAUAUGAUGGGUAAGCAAGUCGGUUACGCAAGGGGAAG